GAUGAAGAACGUAGCGAAAUGCGAUACGUAAUGUGAAUUGCAAAUUCAGUGAAUCAUCGAGUCAUUGAACGCACAUUGCGCCCCCUGGUAUUCCGGGGGGCAUGCCUGUCCGAGCGUCAUUGCUGCCCUCAAGCACGGCUUGUGUGUUGGGCCCCGUCCUCCGAUCCCGGGGGACGGGCCCGAAAGGCAGCGCCGGCACCGCGUCCGGUCCUCGAGCGUAUGGGGCUUUGUCACCCGCUCUGUAGGCCCGGCCGGCGCUUGCCGAUCAACCCAAAUUUUUAUCCAGGUUGACCUCGGAUCAGGUAGGGAUACCCGCUGAACUUAAGCAUAUCAAUAAGCGGAGGA
rnacentral:misc_RNA from 1 species